GCAAACUUGGUCAUUUAGAGGAAGUAAAAGUCGUAACAAGGUUUCCGUAGGUGAACCUGCGGAAGGAUCAUUACCGAGUCCGGCGCCCUCUGGGCGCCUGCUCCCACCACAUGUGAACCUUUUAACCGUUGCUUUGGGGGGCUAGGCGGCUCCGCCCUCUGGCUCUGGCUGGAGAGCGCCCCCCAAAGGAUUUUUCAAACCGGUUUAACGGUGCGAUCUGAGUGUAGACAUAAAUCAAAACUUUCAACAACGGAUCUCUUGGUUCUGGCAUCGAUGAAGAACGCAGC
rnacentral:misc_RNA from 1 species